CCUAGCCCUAAAAAAUUACUUCACAACAACAAACGCCAGGGUAUUACGAGUGCAAACUUAAAAUCCAAAGGAUUUGACGGUGUCCCACCCACCUAGAGGAGCCUGUUCUAUAAUCGAUAAUCCUCGAUAAACCUCACCAUUUCUCGCCACUCAGUCUGUAUACCUCCGUCGCAAGCUUACCAUUUGAAUGCAAAAAAGUAGGUUUAAUGAUUAUUCAUCAACACGUCAGGUCAAGGUGCAACCAAUGAAAUGGGAAGCAAUGGGCUACAAUCUCUAUAAUAGAACAUACGAAAUACCACAUGAAAAAUAGUCAUGAAGGCGGAUUUAGUAGUAAAAGAAGAACAGUGCGCUUCUUUUAACAAGGCUCUGGGACGUGUACAAACCGCCCGUCACCCUCUUCAAUAGCAUAUUUUUAUUUAUAAGCCCUAAUAGCACCUUAGAAGAGGCAAGUCGUAACAUGGUAAGUGUACUGGAAAGUGCACUUGGCAAAUCAAAAUGUAGCUUAAACAAAGCGUUUCGCUUACACCGAAAAAAUGUCUGUUUAACCCAGACCAUCUUGAGAACUAUGGUUCAU
rnacentral:rRNA from 1 species